rnacentral:rRNA from 1 species
AUUGAACGCUGGCGGCAGGCCUAACACAUGCAAGUCGAGCGGAUGAAGGGAGCUUGCUCCUGGAUUCAGCGGCGGACGGGUGAGUAAUGCCUAGGAAUCUGCCUGGUAGUGGGGGAUAACGUCCGUAAACGGGCGCUAAUACCGCAUACGUCCUGAGGGAGAAAGGGGGGGAUCUUCGGACCUCACGCUAUCAGAUGAGCCUAGGUCGGAUUAGCUAGUUGGUGGGGUAAAGGCCUACCAAGGCGACGAUCCGUACCUGGUCUGACAGGCUGAUCAGUCACACUGGAACUGAGACACGGUCCAGACUCCUAAGGGAGGCAGCAUUGGGGAAUAUUGGACCAUGGGCGGAAGCCUGAUCCAGCCAUGCCGCGCGUGGGAAGAAGGUCUUCGGAUUGUAAAGCACUUUAAGUUGGGAGGAAGGGCAGUAAGUUAAUACCUUGCUGCUUUGACGUUACCAACAGAAUAAGCACCGGCUAACUUCGUG